rnacentral:tRNA from 1 species
UGGCUCAGUUGGUAGAGCAUGGCACUUGCAAUGCUAGGGUUGUGGGUUCAAUUCACAC